rnacentral:lncRNA from 1 species
CUAAAUGGAACAAAAUUUGAGUUGUGUACUUUUAGUUUGGAAAAGGAGUUAAGGUACACCAAUUUAGUAUGAGGGGAAACCUAGAGAAACUGCGAGAACAAAGUCUCUUUGCUUUCAAAUUUUGGGGGAAGAAAAGAAUGGUGGGUCGUAAAGAGAAGAGCAGUCAAUCAUCAGUACUUGGAUCUCAAAUCGCCAUUGCAAUUGCGAUCGGGGUUAUUUUAGGCUGCAUCUACGCCUUCUUCUUCCCCAAUGUAGUCUUCUCUAUUGAUUCUUCCACAUCACAUAAUCGCCCUCUUUCCAAAUCAAAUCUCCAGGUUCCAGUCUUCUUAAACCCUUAUCCACUCAAUUAUAUGUAUACAAAGACUAAAUUUUGUUUAUGUUUGCUUAUUAAUACCAUGAAAAUCAUUUUGUAUCUUCAAAUCUGAUGUCCACAUUUUAAUUCUUUAUUAAAUUAAAUUAGAUGAUUGUUAUUGCUAAUAUUAGUUGUAAUUUGCAAAUGGCAGGUGAAGUAAAACCUUUUUAUGUAUUAAAGUACGAUUUACUUACUUCGGCUAUUAUCAGUAGCAGCUCUGGCAGAUUGGCCAAUACACAAAUUUUCAAUUGUGUAUGUAUUUGUUUCAAUAUGUUUGUGUUACAUGUACACAAGCAGAGUAGUAUGCAUAUUUUGUUUGAAUACGUAUUUUUUCCCCUAAGUUGCAAGUUUUACUAAAAUGUCAUUUUAGAUAACUGAUAUUAUUUUGACCAGACUAUCAUGGAUCUGGUAACUCACUGACCAAGCCAUCGGUGGAGGAACCCAGAAGAAGUAAAAAUUUCACAUAAAAAUAUCCUCAAUCGCACCACCCAAGAGGUAUGUUGGAAGAGUGAUAAUGCUUAAUUUCCUAUGUUUGUGGGUUGUAGUGAAAUGGGUGUUUGGUAAUUAGAAUUUACAAUUAAACUUAUAAAAUAUCUUGUUCUCUACCUGUUUGCCUGCUACUAUACUCGCUGAUUAUAAAUGUUUGGGUUGUUUGAUUGUACAUCCUGCACUCUACCUGUUUUCUUCUGGGUUGGUGUUAGGUAAAAUCUAGUUACGCACAACACACAAGUAUACGUGGUCAAUAAGUAAUAUAAUAGUAAGUAGAGUAUCGUUCCCACAUAGAAAAUUUUGUAAGAAUUUUAACCUCACAAUUAUCAAUUUCCUAUUAAUCUAAAUUUUAUUAAACUAUCCAAAAUAAUGAUUAAAAUUAUAAAAACUAAAUUAUUAAUAAAUAUAUCACAAAACAAUCACAAAUAUUAAAAACUGAAAUUUCAAACAAUUAUUGGAGAAUUAGGCUUACGAUUUCACCCUAAGCUUCACUCUGAUUUUUUACACCUUUAUUCCAGUUCAAAUCACUAUCCCAAUUUAUUAAUCAAGAACACGAAUGUAGCAUUAGCCACCUCUCGAUGUACUAAUACCGUAUUAACUCAAAUCCACAAUUUAGAUAGAAACAAGUUAAACACCUUAAUUAACUAACUCACUAUGUCUCUAUGCGUAUUAUAACUGAAGAAGGUUUAAGUUUAAGUCCUUUAUCCGAUUACAUGCGAUGUCAAGCAUAUCUCUACCUUAACAUACAUCAAGAUUCUGCUCAUUCACAAAAUUCAAGAACACAUGUUAUAUUAACUAAGUCUAGACUCGUACUUCCUCUCUCGAAUCCAUACAAGUACACAAAGAACUGUUGAUCAGGCAAUUCAUAAAUUAAGCUCAAAUUAAUAUAGAUAAACUGGAUAAUAGUUUAUUCAAUUGGAACUCAAAGCCACAUAAUCAUCGUUUCACUUAAAGAUCCAUUAUAAGCCUAAAAGAUAAAUUAGUUCAUCGUCAAUGAAUUAAUAACUGAAUAAAUUAAAGAUAACAUCUUUUCAAUUACAAAUAUAAGACUAAGAAGAAGAAUAAUGUAGAACACCUUUCACGUUAGCCUUAAUCCGCAAUUGCUAUGAACGUUCUUUCAAAAUCCUCUCUCCAAUGCUCGCUAUCAAAAUCUGUAUGUAAUCUCUGUCAAUUGCCUUGUGUGUCUUCGAUUUCGUUGUUUGUUGCUCAAUAUAAAUCCAACACACAAGUUUUGGUCGAAGUCCCAUGUCAAUUAGAGUCCAAACGCUACCCAAGUGCUCAAAAUCCUCAUUCUAGCAGAGUUUGCAACAAGCUAGGAGUGUCAGAAUCCGGCACCCCGCGCCCCAGCGGGGGUGUAUACGUGAAAAUGGCCCGCCCCGGUGGGCUAGGCUACUGCUAAACAAUCUUGAAGACCCCCUGCCCCGGCGGGGGUGAAAGGCUUAAUUAGGCCCGCCCUGGCGGGAAUGGGUUUUGCUUUUUGACUUGGUUUGAACUUCAAACUUGCUCCAAAAUCGCUUCAAAUGCUUUCUUUUUUCAAUCACGUGCCGCACCAACCACCCUACACAUAAAACAACAAUAAACAAGUAAAACUAAACAUGAAAUCAAGGUUUUAACAACGAAUAAGCUUGAAUUAGACCCCGAUUCGUGGAUAUAAAAUCAACUUAUCAGUUGGCAUCAAUAUUUGGGUUGUUAUUGAUAAGGUGAUUAUCUUUUCAUCUGUUAUUAGUUGUCGUAAUGCAAUUUGGUUGUUGGUUUGUAACUGUAUGUGAGAAUUUCUACUAAUAAUAAUGGAGACAAGAUAUUGAUUGGACGUGUCAAAUAACAUCUUUAUAUUUUAGUUGUUUCUUAGUUUACACGGGUUCAUUCCUAUACCUUUUAGCAAUUCCUAUACAAUCAACUAGAAUUUUGGGUAAACACAGGGUAAUUUGCAUUCUAUUCGGAUAAAUAUCUCACGAGAUAAACUGCAUCAUAUUUAAAUUAUGGAAUUGAAUUUGUAUGAAAAGUAUCCGAGACUAGAAAAUAUAUAGCACAUACAAAAAACAAUGAUGUAAUUAGUGUUUAUAAACCCACUUAGACAGUCAUAGCUACCAAUCAGAAAUGAUUUAUAGUAGCAGUCUUCUUCCCUUGGUGGCCUGGUCAAUGUGAAGAUCCUCUCUCUCUUACAUUCUUCCUUGUAAUUGGUAAUGGUGUCUUCUUUAACUCUAAUUUAUGGUUCACUUCUUUAUUAUUUCUAUGUUAUGUUUGUUUUUCUUUGUCAUACUUUAAUUUAUUCCUUUUUCUAGAAAUUUUGAUGGGUUUGUUUUGGAUUUAAUUGAUGCUUUUGUAGUUGAAGAUGGGUUUAGUUUUUGUUUUUUGAUAUGAGUUUUUACUAUGAUUCAAAUCUGCCUGCUUUAGUUCAGUUUUAUUGGAUUCAUCUAUGUUAGAAUAAGAUAUUAAUUUAGUGGAAUUCAAAAAUUUCAAAUUUUGGUAUAUGUUCUAUGAGUUCAUUAGACUAAAUUUUUAUACCAAAGUUGUAAUCUUUAGUCAUUCCAAAUUAUGUAUUGAAAUCAACCUUUAGUUUACUUGUAGAAUAUGUCAAUUUUGGUGUAUUUUGUAGUUAAUUUAAGAUUAUAAGUUGUUGUCAUGCUGAUAGAAACUUCAGAAAUGUAAAGGUUAUACUGAAUAGUUGACUGAAAAAAGAUAAUUGAUCUACGGUGGGAGAAGAAUUAGAUAUAGGAGGGAGUACUUACAUUUCUGGGCAUAAUUGUUUUUCUUACUUGUUUGUGGGUGGCACAAUGGGAUCAAGUAUUGGUACGCGUUAUGGGCCAGCCUAUCUCCAUAUGUUAUUAUUCAUCUAUCAUUGUCAAUCUCAUCGUGCAAUAUAUAGUACAAAUAUACGCUGUUUGUUGACUAAACAUAUUUUAAUUUCUUUUAUCCCAUGGAUUUAGCUUCUACUUACAGAAUGUGGUGAAUAUAUUUGUUAUGCAAGACCUCAUGAGUUCCUUUACUUUUGGUAGGCUUUUAAUUGUUUCAGCUUCUUUGUGACACAUGACCAUGCUUCACCAGUUUGAACCGGUCUAAAUGAAGUUCCAAGUGGUAGUUGUUCUUGUCUGUCUCAUUAGCUUCACUUCAAUUCAACACAUUCUUUGCGGUUAGUAUCAAUUCAUGAACCAUGUUUAAGAAGGUAUCUUUUAGUGUUACUAACAAAAAUCAAAGUUAUCAUGAAUUUAGUUGUGGUAUUUUGUAAGCAGACUUUUUCUUGGAUCAGUAUUAGCAAUUGAUAUAAAGAUUGGGAGGCCUCUACUCAAUGAAAAAAAUUAUAUAUAUAAAUUCAAGUUGGAUUUCCUUAAUAGAUACUUGUUGUUUUUUUGCCUAGAUCACAAUCAGCAAUUGAUAUACAAGAUUGGGAGGCCUCUACUUAAUGAAAAAAUUAUAUAUGUAAAUUCAAGUUGUAUUUCUUUAAUAGAUACUAGUUGUUUUUUUAACUACAAGAACAACAAUAAUAAAACAAGUACCUUUUCUCAGCAAUUGGAAAUAUAGUAAACUUAAUAUACUGACUUACUUUGUGGCAGAUGAACUUUUUGAUACAUCUAGUGGAAACAAAUGGAUAUGUGCUUCUUCUUUCUAAUUUAAGUUCACCAGUUCAAUCUUUUCUUAUUCCUCGUCUUAUUGAAAUUGAAUUUUGGUGUUUCUAUUGCAGCAUGAAGUUUACAUGUCCAACCUUGAUUUUCUUGAAGAAAAUGAUGAUGAAGUGGAUCUAACAUGCCACACUUUAUUCCUUCUAGUUCAUUGUAAUUCUUUCAGAUUCUUAUGUUAGUUAAUAAAUUUUGUAGGUACUAUGGUCCUAGUGACCAAGAUAAAAUAACAAAUUUUGUAGUUAUUGUGACUCGAGUAUUAUGAUAUAUUUAUAUGUGAAGUUUUAAUUUUA